rnacentral:rRNA from 1 species
UACGUAGGGUGCAAGCGUUGUCCGGAAUUAUUGGGCGUAAAGAGCUCGUAGGCGGUUUGUCGCGUCUGCUGUGAAAACGCGAGGCUCAACCUCGCGCCUGCAGUGGGUACGGGCAGACUAGAGUGCGGUAGGGGAGAUUGGAACUCCUGGUGUAGCGGUGGAAUGCGCAGAUAUCAGGAGGAACACCGAUGGCGAAGGCAGAUCUCUGGGCCGUAACUGACGCUGAGGAGCGAAAGCGUGGGGAGCGAACAGG